rnacentral:rRNA from 1 species
UGGGGAAUUUUGGACAAUGGGCGAAAGCCUGAUCCAGCAAUGCCGCGUGUGUGAAGAAGGCCUUCGGGUUGUAAAGCACUUUUGUCCGGAAAGAAAUCCUUGGCUCUAAUACAGUCGGGGGAUGACGGUACCGGAAGAAUAAGCACCGGCUAACUACGUGCCAGCAGCCGCGGUAAUACGUAGGGUGCAAGCGUUAAUCGGAAUUACUGGGCGUAAAGCGUGCGCAGGCGGUUUGCUAAGACCGAUGUGAAAUCCCCGGGCUCAACCUGGGAACUGCAUUGGUGACUGGCAGGCUAGAGUAUGGCAGAGGGGGGUAGAAUUCCACGUGUAGCAGUGAAAUGCGUAGAGAUGUGGAGGAAUACCGAUGGCGAAGGCAGCCCCCUGGGCCAAUACUGACGCUCAUGCACGAAAGCGUGGGGAGCAAACAGAUUAGAUACCCUGGUAGUCCACGCCCUAAACGAUGUCAACUAGUUGUUGGGGAUUCAUUUCCUUAGUAACGUAGCUAACGCGUGAAGUUGACCGCCUGGGGAGUACGGUCGCAAGAUUAAAACUUAAAGGAAUUGACGGGGUCAUAGCUGUUUCCU